AACAAAAGCCUGUUUUCAAUCCUUGGCAAGAGCAAUCUCCGAUUUGCUGGCAUUAGCAUAGCUGUCAACAUUUCCAUCGAUGGUUUGAACCUGAUGAUCCCCACCACUCGACAGAUCAUCGCGAAUCACCACAUGCAAUCUAUCUCCUUCGCUUCGGGGGGUGACACGGAUACAACCGAUUACGUCGCUUAUGUUGCCAAGGAUCCCAUCAACCAGCGAGCUUGCCACAUCUUGGAAUGCUGUGACGGAUUGGCGCAAAGCAUCAUCAACACCGUCGGGCAGGC